rnacentral:misc_RNA from 1 species
CAAGAAUGGAAAAGCAUUUAUCAUUUCACGAUUGUUAUUCUUUGUCUGAUGAAUCAGCACAUGACAAUGAAUUACUCAAGAUCAUUUCUCAAUUCCAAAACCAACUUUUGGCAUCUCUCCUCAAUCUAAAACACAAUAGCCAUGCACAAUCAACCUGGGAGCCCACGUGGUGCAUCUUCAACAAGUUUAGAUAUGACUGAAUAGCUCAAAACAUACCUCAAUCACAAUAUAGAUUCUCUGAAAAAAUGACUCCUUCAAAAGCAUAUUCUAAAUCUCAAAACCAAGUCCUUGUUUCAUAUUUUUGGUAUGCCUACUUAACGCCUAGCACAAGUAAUAGAAACAAUGCACCACUCAACCAAAUGCCUACAUCCUCUACAAAUUUAAUCCACUUGAACUGCAUGAUAAAUUUAUUCAAAUAAAUGCAUGUGGAACUCUCAAACCUAAGAAAUCCCACUUAAUCAUCUAGCUCCAGUUGUCUACAGAAUAUCAUUUAUUGGACUCAUCUCUCAUUCACUGAAAUUGUGAAAUUAAAAAUUGAUCUAAAUUUAUUUAGUCAUAAGAACUUCCAAAGAACUAUUUUUAACAACAUCUAGAAUGAUACAUUUCCAAAAUGCACUUUUUGGCCUCAAAACCACAAUCCCAAAUGGAGCCUUAGUAGCAUCACCAAAACUGUGUUUCAAUUUCUAUAUCAAUAAAAAAUUCACAGCCAACCAGCUAGUUUCCUACUAGAGCUUAGUUUUGUGUUGCGUUGAGCAACCAUUAACAACUAAUAACUUUAUCAAUGACCAAUGUUGAGCCAAAUCAGAUAAAUAAUAAAGAGGUUAGUUGAGUUGAAUUGAGCACACAUCAAUCAACUAACAAUUCAAUCAAAGAAAAAUGUUGAACAGUAGAGCCAAAUCUAAUAAAUAAUAGAGUAUACUCAGACUGUAUAGCUUAGCCAUGCCCAACCAUUUUCUCUUUCUUUUAGAAAAUGAAAAAAGCAUGUCAAGUUAUUACCUCAUACAUUUGAUAUCCUAAUCAACCAAACAGGAAAAG